CCCUCCCCCUCUCUCUGGCAGGGGGUGCUGGGUGACUGGUGGACAGGGGGUGAGAUGGCACCAGGGAGGGGGCAGGCCGUGUGUGACACCUCCCCCUCCUCUGCCGCUGCUGCUGCUGUGUUUUCCUCACACCGCUCCCCCCUCCCCCCCUCUGCGGACGCAGGAGUGGGGGGCUCUGAUGGGGAACCUGCUGCACCAGGAGAAGCCGUGGACGGGCUCUGCGAGGGUCAGGGGCCACACCCUCCCUUCUGUGGAUAUAAUGGCAGCAGGUGUGCGGAAGCCGGGGCCUCUAUGAGCGCACGGGGUUUCCGGGCCAGCGCGGCAGGGGCAGGGAGGGGGAUUACUGCAGUGCGUUGCUCUCUGCUCUGCUGUGUAGCACGCUGGGCAGACGGCGGCGGAGCGCUGCGAUUGUGCUACGGCUGUCACCCCACCGCCGUCCCCGUGAGGCACGGCCGCCGCCGCUUCUAGGGCGGGGAGAGACGGACCGAGAGACGGACAGCUGUCGCCCCCUCCCUGCGCUGCCGGAUCGCCGAUCUCCCCUCCUAGCACGCCUGGAUCCUGCGUUGCUCCCAUAUGUAGCCUUAUUCGUCUGAUACACCCAGGUAUGGGGACACGAGGAGCUCUACGUGGCAGGAAGAGGCUUGGCUUCCACCGGGAAUGCCUCCCGAUUUGCAGUGUUGCCUCCCUUAGACCUUAUGUCUCAGCUGCUACUGUAAGUGACAGAUGAAAUUCUAUUUUUUUUUUUUUUUUUUUUAAUGAAAUAAGAAAAUCCACAGAUCUCGGAACAAGAAUGCACACACUGACCUGCUUCACGGUCAUUUAUAUUGUAUUUUAUUCCUAUUCAUGUGAUGGGUUCCAAAUACUUGGAUUUAUAUAAGGCAGUGUAGAGAUAUAGAUAUAUACACACAUACAGUGUGAUGCAUGUUAAAGCAGAAUUCUGAUCUUACAGUAUGUAGUUAUUCCUAAUACACUGUACAGCUACAAGCUGCUGAGUGUGUCCAUCCCCACUAUGAUGUGCAUCUGUUGCAGUGUCCAGCAGGAGACUCGCUGCUUUCCUAGUGCUAUGGGGUUUCCUCUCAAGCUUUCCAGGGACUCUGCAAGAGCGCAUUUAUUCACCCUCCUCUGUCCAGUGCAGUUUUGGGUUUCCUCUGUAUAAGGUAUAAAGCAGAAGUGCUGGUGCCCAAGUACACUGACUUUUAGGCUACAUUAAUGUAAGGCUGUUAUUUUUAAGAUUGAACUGUAUACAGUCUGCCCAUCGCAGAUCAUUUCCUUCUAUUUCAGUCUUUCCCAACCAAAUUUAAAUUAUUAACCGUUAAAUAUAAUAUACCGGCUAUGCUGGACAUUCGUCAGUCUAUAAAUUACCUAGAAGUGUUCUGUAACCUGUAGAGAAUAGCUAAUAAUCUCAAACUAUACUUUUCCUUUUGGUUGUUUGUAAUGAUCAGAUUUUGCUAUUUCCAUUGAAUCUUUAUUUUUAUUAUAGUUAUGAAUCAAUUACUGCUUACAGAUUACAGACCAUUGUAUUUUAUGUAUAAUAUGUUGUAGCAACAGAGUUAAAAGCCAUAUUGACUACUGUUCCGUUGCUUCUCAGGCAAUAACGAGACGAGGUAUUUGCAAAAAAUCCGUUUGUUUAUUAAAUUUGUUUUUAGCCUUGUUCUCACUACCCAAUAACUGGUGACACCGUAUAAUUAACAGUCUGAGACAGCUCCUGUUUUAGAAUAACACCUUAUGUGAGAAGGCUGAACGGUGUACUGUCAAUUAAUUCACUGGCAGUUUGAGAGCACAAUCUGCUUUAUCUGUCAUUGGUUCAAGGAAAUUAAGCAGUUGGAUAGAAUUAACCAGUUGGGUGGAGGUGAUAAUUUAUAGUAAUCCGUCCUCCCCCAAAGCUCAGAUUGUAUUAUCGGAUUUCGGGAGAGAUGGCCAAUCAAGACGGCUGACGAGUCAAGCUGUGGCUUUCCAUCCGCCUGACUAAUGUUUGAAUUUUUUUUAUUUUAUUUUUUUGUAAUGGAGACAUCUAUUUGUAAAGCAUUGCAAAAGAAAUGAAAUCAAAUAGCAUUUAGAUGUAAGAGGGGCUUUGGGAAUUAUAAUGGGUCGUACAAUGAAGAUUCCACAUGGUGCCUCUGCAAUGUUUCUUGACCCUUUAGGGGUGGUCUCAGAUGUUUUGUGGGUGCCCAAAUGUAAUGAAUGCCUACUGGAGCAAUUCAAUUGUGUGUCUGGAUCACCCCCCAAACAUGCCACAUGUGUGCACCCAUUAGUACUGGGGUAGCCAUGCAAAACGGCUAAACCCAUCUAAACAACUGAUGGGGGGGGCACCCAAACUGCCAAUUUAUUGCACAUUUCAGCUCGCACUUCGGGAGGCUGUGCGCCUGACCGAGCGGAGCAACAUUUGUAUUGCUCCAUUUGGUGCCAUCUAGUAGCAGCCGGGGAAAACAAUUGAAUUGCCUCCUUGGUGUCCAGCUAUGACCCAUUGAUUAAUGCUGACAUAUACUAUGAUUUAGGGGGAUAUUUAUCAAAGCUUGGGAGAGAGAUAUACAGGUUGAGUAUCCCUUAUCCAAAAUGCUUGGGACCAGAAGUAUUUUGGAUAUCGGAUUUUUCCGUAUUUUGGAAUAAUUGAACUCUAUAAUGAGAUAUCAUGGUGAUGAGACCUAAGUCUAAGCACAGAAUGCAUUUAUGUUUCAUAUACACCUUAUACACACAGCCUGAAGGUCAUUUAAUACAAUAUUUUUAAUAACUUUGUGUAUUAGACAAAGUUUGUGUACAUUGAGCCAUCAGAAAACAAAGGUUUCACUAUCUCACUCUCGCUGAAAAAAGUCCAUAUUUCGGAAUAUUCUGUAUUUCUGAAUAUUUGGAUAUGGGAUACUCAACCUGUACUACUAACCAAUCAGAUCCUGGCAUUUUAUUCAAAUACAGCUUGUAAAAUGACAGUUACAAGCUGAUUGGAUAGUACUUUCUUUCACCAAGCUUUGAUAAGUAUCCCCCUUAUUUUCUUUAAUUCUUAUGUCAUGUGUAAACUGUUAAUAAAGCUGAGUGAAAACAAAA